CUUUAAAUAAGCUAAUCUUAAGCUACUGGGCUCAUAACCCAGAAAUGAUAAAAUCUUUAAAGA
rnacentral:tRNA from 1 species